AGAGUUUGAUCCUGGCUCAGGACGAACGCUAACGGCGUGCUCAACACAUGCAAGUCGAGGGCACUCAGCAAUGAGUGACCGGCGAACGGGUGCGUAACACGUGAGCGACCUUGCCUGGUGGUGGGGGAUAGCCGGCCCAACGGCCGGGUAAUACCGCAUAUGGUGUGGUCUUCGCAUGGAGACCGUAGCAAAGCUUCGGGGCAACUCGAGGCGCCACAGAGGGGGCUCGCGGCCUAUCAGCUAGUUGGGGGGGUAAUGGCCCACCAAGGCGACGACGGGUAGCUGGUCUGAGAGGAUGGCCAGCCACAUUGGGACUGAGAGACGGCCCAGACUCCUACGGGAGGCAGCAGUGGGGAAUCUUGCGCAAUGGCCGAAAGGCUGACGCAGCGACGCCGCGUGGGGGAGGAAGGCCUUCGGGUUGUAAACCCCUGUUGCCCGGGACGAAUGUGCUUCUUUGGGAGCAUUGACGGUACCGGGUGAGGAAGCACCGGCUAACUCCGUGCCAGCAGCCGCGGUAAUACGGAGGGUGCGAGCGUUGUCCGGAAUCACUGGGCGUAAAGGGCGCGUAGGCGGCUCAUGAAGGCUGUGGUGAAAGUCCGAGGCUCAACCUCGGAUCGGCCGUGGCGACUCGUGGGCUGGAGCACUGUAGAGGCGGGUGGAAUUCCGGGUGUAGCGGUGGAAUGCGUAGAGAUCCGGAAGAACACCAGUGGCGAAGGCGGCCCGCUGGGCAGUGGCUGACGCUGAAGCGCGACAGCGUGGGGAGCAAACAGGAUUAGAUACCCUGGUAGUCCACGCCGUAAACGAUGGGCACUAGGUGCUUGGGGGAGCGACCCUCUGAGUGCCGGCGCUAACGCAUUAAGUGCCCCGCCUGGGGAGUACGGCCGCAAGGCUGAAACUCAAAGGAAUUGACGGGGGCCCGCACAAGCAGUGGAGCAUGUGGUUUAAUUCGACGCAACGCGAAGAACCUUACCUAG
rnacentral:rRNA from 1 species